AACGAACGCUGGCGGCGCGCCUAAUACAUGCAAGCCGAGCGAGAAGACGUAGCAAUACGUUUGUAAAGCGGCGAACGGGUGAGGAAUACAUGGGUAACCUACCCUCGAGUGGGGAAUAACUAGCCGAAAGGUUAGCUAAUACCGCGUACGCUCCUUGGACUUCGGUUCAGGGAGGAAAGCGAUACCGUGGGUAUCGCGCUCUUGGAUGGGCUCAUGUCCUAUCAGCUUGUUGGUGAGGUAACGGCUCACCAAGGCUUCGACGGGUAGCUGGUCUGAGAGGACGAUCAGCCACACUGGCACUGCGACACGGGCCAGACUCCUACGGGAGGCAGCAGUAAGGAAUAUUGCGCAAUGGGCGAAAGCCUGACGCAGCGACGCCGC
rnacentral:rRNA from 1 species